rnacentral:rRNA from 1 species
UACAGAGGUCUCAAGCGUUGUUCGGAUUUAUUGGGCGUAAAGGGUGCGUAGGCGGCAAGGCAAGUCAGGUGUGAAAGCCCCGAGCUUAACUCGGGAAUUGCAUCUGAAACUGCUGUGCUUGAGUUCUGGAGGGGGUAGUGGAAUUCCCAGUGUAGCGGUGAAAUGCGUAGAUAUCGGGAGGAACACCAGUGGCGAAGGCGGUUGCCUGGAGCUUUGCUGACGCUGAGGCGCGAAAGCGUGGGGAGCGAUCCGG